AACGAACGCUGGCGGCAUGCCUAACACAUGCAAGUCGAACGAGACCUUCGGGACUAGUGGCGCACGGGUGCGUAACGCGUGGGAACCUGCCCUUAGGUUCGGAAUAACUCCCCGACAGGGGUGCUAAUACCGGAUAAUGUAUUCGGAUCAAAGAUUUAUCGCAUUUGGAUGGGCCCGCGUUGGUUUAGCUAGUUGGUAGGGUAAAAGCCUACCAAGGCGACGAUCCAUAGCUGGUCUGAGAGGAUGAUCAGCCACACUGGGACUGGGACACGGCCCAGACUCCUACGGGAGGCAGCAGUGGGGAAUAUUGGACAACGGGCUAAAGGCUGAUCCAGCAAGGCCGCGUGAGUGAUGAAGGCCUGAGGGUUGUAAAGCUCUUUUACCCGGGAUGAUAAUGACAGUACCGGGAGAAUAAGCACCGGCUAACUCCGUG
rnacentral:rRNA from 1 species